rnacentral:lncRNA from 1 species
UCAAGCUAAUAUAAUCAAAUAUUAUAGUAUAUUACAAAUUUCGAAAUUACUUAUUGACCAAUCACAAUAACGACACAGACAAAAAUGUGUUCAGACAAUUGGGUAUAAUAAAUAUGCAAAUAAUAUGCAAAUCAAGAACGGUUUGCUCGAUGGUUUAAAAAAAUUGAUCUCAAACGACAACUCAUUGUCAGUGUCUGUUCCCAUCUUGUCCUCGGAAUAUAAACGGAGCGUGUCUUGAGAAUAAAUAUCUCUUCUACGAUGAUAUCAAAUCGGCACACGAUUAUGCAUCGUCGUUGGCAGUGAGUUCUGAAGCUAACGAGAUGAGCACAGUUAAACUCUUCUUUGAAUCUUACGUUAUAACUUUCGUGGAAAGCUUACGUAUACAUUCAAAAGUAUAUACAUUUAAAGGAUGUUUGGAAAACGUGGUUGAGAGAAGAAGAGUGCAGAAUGGAAAGUAUUUAAACGAAAACUAAUAUAUAUGCAAAUUUAAAACUGUAGUUGUCUUUUAUUACGGUGUAUGAUUAAAUAAUUUGAAUUCUU